UACGUAGGGGGCAAGCGUUAUCCGGAUUUACUGGGUGUAAAGGGGGCGCAGACGGCGAUGCAAGCCAGGAGUGAAAGCCCGGGGCCCAACCCCGGGACUGCUCUUGGAACUGCGUGGCUGGAGUGCAGGAGGGGCAGGCGGAAUUCCUGGUGUAGCGGUGAAAUGCGUAGAUAUCAGGAGGAACACCGGUGGCGAAGGCGGCCUGCUGGACUGCAACUGACGUUGAGGCCCGAAAGCAUGGGGAGCAAACAGG
rnacentral:rRNA from 1 species